CUGGUAGUCCACGCCCUAAACGAUGUCUAUUUGGAGGUUGUUCCCCUGAGGAGUGGCUUCCGGAGCUAACGCGUUAAAUAGACCGCCUGGGGAGUACGGCCGCAAGGUUAAAACUCAAAUGAAUUGACGGGGGCCCGCACAAGCGGUGGAGCAUGUGGUUUAAUUCGAUGCAACGCGAAGAACCUUACCUGGUCUUGACAUCCACGGAACUUUCCAGG
rnacentral:rRNA from 1 species